rnacentral:lncRNA from 1 species
GAUAUAAUAUAACUUUUGACCUGAUACGAUUCAUAAAUGGGUGCGUUGUUGUUUAUGGUUUGACACAAUUCAGAAAAAUUCAGGUUAAAAAGUUUGGGAAUUCUAUAAAAAGAAAAAAAAUAUUAAAAAAAAAAAAAUUUCACAACGUUUGUUUAACAAGGUUGUUGUUAUAAGCAAAACGCUAUCUUGAAUAAUGAACGUCAAAAUGGUGUUGUUGGGUGUCGAAUCCAGGAUC